rnacentral:rRNA from 1 species
GACGAACGCUGGCGGCGUGCCUAAUACAUGCAAGUCGAACGCUUUUUCUUUCACCGGAGCUUGCUCCACCGAAAGAAAAAGAGUGGCGAACGGGUGAGUAACACGUGGGUAACCUGCCCAUCAGAAGGGGAUAACACUUGGAAACAGGUGCUAAUACCGUAUAACACUAUUUUCCGCAUGGAAGAAAGUUGAAAGGCGCUUUUGCGUCACUGAUGGAUGGACCCGCGGUGCAUUAGCUAGUUGGUGAGGUAACGGCUCACCAAGGCAACGAUGCAUAGCCGACCUGAGAGGGUGAUCGGCCACACUGGGACUGAGACACGGCCCAGACUCCUACGGGAGGCAGCAGUAGGGAAUCUUCGGCAAUGGACGAAAGUCUGACCGAGCAACGCCGCGUGAGUGAAGAAGGUUUUCGGAUCGUAAAACUCUGUGUUAGAGAAGAACAAGGAUGAGAGUAAAACGUUCAUCCCU